rnacentral:rRNA from 1 species
GAUGAACGCUAGCGGCAGGCUUAACACAUGCAAGUCGAGGGGUAGAGGUUGCUUGCAACCUUGAGACCGGCGCACGGGUGCGUAACGCGUAUGCAACCUACCUUUUACAGAGGGAUAGCCCAGAGAAAUUUGGAUUAAUACCUCAUAGUAUAUAACCUUCGCAUGUUGGUUAUAUUAAAGUUCCAACGGUAAAAGAUGGGCAUGCGUCCUAUUAGCUAGAUGGUAAGGUAACGGCUUACCAUGGCAACGAUAGGUAGGGGUCCUGAGAGGGAGAUCCCCCACAAUGGUACUGGGACACGGACCAGACUCCUACGGGAGGCAGCAGUGAGGAAGAUUGGACAAUGGGCGCAAGCCUGAUCCAGCCAUGCCGCGUGAAGGAAGAAGCAUCUAUGGUGUGUAAACUGCUUUUGUACAGGAAGAAACACCCCGACGUGUCGGGGCUUGACGGUACUGUAAGAAUAAGGAUCGGCUAACUCCGUGCCAGCCGCCGCGGUAA